UACGGGGGGGGGCAAGCGUUGUUCGGAAUUACUGGGCGUAAAGGGCUCGUAGGUGGCCAACUAAGUCAGACGUGAAAUCCCCAGGCUCAACUUGGGAACUGCGUCUGAUACUGGAUGGCUUGAAUUCGGGAGAGGGAUGCGGAAUUCCAGGUGUAGCGGUGAAAUGCGUAGAUAUCUGGAGGAACACCGGUGGCGAAGGCGGCAUCCUGGACCAAUACUGACGCUGAGGAGCGAAAGCUAGGGGAGCAAACGGGG
rnacentral:rRNA from 1 species